UUGCUGAACAGGUGAUGAGAGAAAAUAUGAUGAGAUGAGACUCCCAGUAAUGCUUUAUAUAGUAUUGGUGACACCUCCCCCAUUGCACAAUAUACCAGUGUGUGUUUGUGUGUGUGUCACUGUGUGUUUAUUGGUAUGUGAUGGUCUAUACAUGCAGAAUGGGUCCUGCCUUGACUUGCAUCUUCUGUAUCACCGCUCCUUUUCGUCCGUCUCUUCAGUUUCACUUUUGAAGAAAUAGUAUUUGACAGUUUCACUUUACAGGAAACACCAACAUCUGUUAUUGUAGGUGCCUACUGUGAGCGAAACAGUACAAAACAGUUGGAAACUGAUUGAAGGCCUCCUAAGAAAUAGUGUUUUGGUCAACUUAAUUUGAUAUAUUUAGAUAAAUCUAUGAUGAAAGCAUAACAAAAAUAUUCAAAAUAAAUCAUGAUUGAAUCAGGUGCCUUGUGCAUUCAAAUGACAUCAAAUAUAGGACGAAACUGACAACUGAACACCACAACACGCAUCUCCACAUUCUGAGAGUUUGUUCCAAUCUAUAGUAUAAAAAAAUCAUCUCCAUGACAGACUACAGUCAUUUAAUCUAACAAUACACUGUACAGUGACUGCAGCCCACAAUCACACAUACAUAUAUGAGAAGAGGGGAAACUGUUGUAGUUUAACGUGGCGCCUAUCUCAUCUGUACAGUGACGAAUAACAAUCAGAGAGAUUGUUGGUGUACAUCGAUCCAAAUGUCAUGCUUUGAAACCUUGUGAAGUCCCCCAUGACAUGUUAUAACCAGUCCACCCUGCCUCUCUGUCCCACUAUAACCAGUCCACCCUGCCUCUCUGUCCCACUAUAACCAGUCCACCCUGCCUCUCUGUCCCACUAUAACCAGUCCACCCUGCCUCUAUGUCCCACUAUAACCAGUCCACCCUGCCUCUAUGUCCCACUAUAACCAGUCCACUCUGCCUCUAUGUCCCACUAUAACCAGUCCACCCUGCCUCUAUGUCCCACUAUAACCAGUCCACCCUGCCUCUCUGUCCCACUAUAACCAGUCAACCUGCCUCUAUGUCCCACUAUAAACCAGUCCACCCUGCCUCUAUGUCCCACUAUAACCAGUCCACUCUGCCUCUAUGUCCCACUAUAACCAGUCCACCCUGCCUCUAUGUCCCACUAUAACCAGUCCACCCUGCCUCUCUGUCCCACUAUAACCAGUCCACCCUGCCUCUAUGUCCCACUAUAACAGUCCACCCUGCCUCUCUGUCCCACUAUAACCAGUCCACUCUGCCUCUAUGUCCCACCUAUACACCAGUCCACC
rnacentral:lncRNA from 1 species